GCAUAAUACAUGCAAGUUGCUGAGAAUUGCGAGGAGCUUGCUCCCUGAGAUUAGCGGCGGACGGGUGAGUAACACGUGGGCAACCUGCCUAUAAGACUGGGAUAACUUCGGGAAACCGGAGCUAAUACCGGAUACGUUCUUUUCUCGCAUGAGAGAAGAUGGAAAGACGGUUUACGCUGUCACUUAUAGAUGGGCCGCGCGGCGCAUUAGCUAGUUGGUGAGGUAAUGGCUCACCAAGGCGACGAUGCGUAGCCGACCUGAGAGGGUGAUCGGCCACACUGGGACUGAGACACGGCCCAGACUCCUACGGGAGGCAGCAGUAGGGAAUCUUCCGCAAUGGACGAAAGUCUGA
rnacentral:rRNA from 1 species